rnacentral:rRNA from 1 species
GCAUAUCAAUAAGCGGAGGAAAAGAAACUAACAAGGAUUCCCCUAGUAACUGCGAGUGAAGCGGGAAAAGCUCAAAUUUAAAAUCUAAUGGUCUUUUUGGCCGUUCGAGUUGUAAUUUAGAGAAGCGUCUUCCGCGCCAGACCAUGUACAAGUCUCCUGGAACGGAGCGUCGUAGAGGGUGAGAAUCCCGUCUUUGACAUGGACCCUCGGUGCUUCUGUGAUGCGCUCUCAAAGAGUCGAGUUGUUUGGGAAUGCAGCUCAAAAUGGGUGGUGAACUCCAUCUAAGGCUAAAUAUUGGCGAGAGACCGAUAGCGAACAAGUACCGUGAGGGAAAGAUGAAAAGCACUUUGGAAAGAGAGUGAAACAGUACGUGAAAUUGUUGAAAGGGAAACACUUGAAGUCAGUCGCGUCGAUCAAGACUCAGCCUUGCCUCUCGGCUUGGCGUACUUCUUGACUUGACGGGCCAGCAUCAAUUUCGUCCCUCGGAUAAUGGCAGGUGAAAGGUAGCACCUUCACGGGUGUGUUAUAGUCUCUUGUCGCAUACGAGGGGUGGGAUUGAGGAACUCAGCGCGCGCCUCACGGCGUCGGGGCUUCGGCCCACGUUUACGUGCUUAGGAUGCCGGCGUAAUGGCUUUAAAUGACCCGUCUUGAAACACGGACCAAGGAGUCUAACAUGCCUGCGAGUGUUCGGGUGGAAAACCCGUGUGCGAAAUGAAAGUAAAAGUUGGGACCUCUGUCGUGGAGGGCACCGACGCCCGGACCAGACCUUCUGUGACGGAUCUGCGGUAGAGCAUGCAUGUUGGGACCCGAAAGAUGGUGAACUAUGCCUGAAUAGGGUGAAGCCAGAGGAAACUCUGGUGGAGGCUCGUAGCGAUUCUGACGUGCAAAUCGAUCGUCAAAUUUGGGUAUAGGGGCGAAAGACUAAUCGAACCAUCUAGUAGCUGGUUCCGC